UUAGGAAUUUUGGGCAAUGGCCGCAAGGCUGACCCAGCAACGCCGCGUGGGGGACGAAGGCCUUCGGGUUGUAAACCCCUUUUCCCAGGGACGAUGAUGACGGUACCUGGGGAAUCAGCCCCGGCUAACUACGUGCCAGCAGCCGCGGUAAUACGUAGGGGGCAAGCGUUGUCCGGAUUCAUUGGGCGUAAAGCGCGUGCAGGCGGCUCGCUAAGUCGGCCGUGAAAGCUCCGGGCUCAACUCGGAGAGGUCGGGCGAGACUGGCGAGCUGGAGGCUGGCAGAGGGCGGUGGAAUUCCGGGUGUAGUGGUGGAAUGCGUAGAGCUCCGGAGGAACACCAGUGGCGAAGGCGGCCGCCUGGGCCAGGCCUGACGCUGAGACGCGAAAGCGUGGGGAGCGAUCCGGAUUAGAUACCCGGGUAGUCCACGCCGUAAACGAUGGGCACUAGCUGUCGGGGGUAUCGACCCCCUCGGUGGCGGAGCUAACGCAAUAAGUGCCCCGCCUGGGGAGUACGGCCGCAAGGCUAAAACUCAAAUGAAUU
rnacentral:rRNA from 1 species